GACAGAGGGUGCAAGCGUUGUUCGGAGUUACUGGGCGUAAAGAGUGCGUAGGCGGUUUUCUAAGUUUGGUGUGAAAUCCCUCGGCUUAACCGGGGAACUGCGUCUGAUACUGGGUGGCUUGAGUUUGGGAGAGGGAUGCGGAAUUCCAGGUGUAGCGGUGAAAUUCGUAGAUAUUGGGAAGAACACCGGUGGCGAAGGCGGCGCUCUGGACCGAGACUGACGCUGAGGCGCGAAAGCGUGGGGAGCGAACAGG
rnacentral:rRNA from 1 species